AUAGGUGGAGCUGAUGCUUUAGCGCUGAAGAUAGACUCCAUAAUUGAUGGUUGUAAUUAUUCGUGCCUGGAAACUACUGCUCAUGAAAGGCCAAAUACCCAUCUUGAAGGCCAACCUUUGCCCCAUUGUACCGAUGUAAAGUUGUCUGAGGCUGUUAACUACAGACAAAGUCCAUGUCAAGAGUUGGAUGAAAUAUGCGAUGCAAACACUUGGAUUUUACCAACUUAUCAUAUUUGUGUCACUGAUGGUGGGUUUGUCGCUAAAGUGACUGUCAAAGGUGCGGAUCUCGAGUGUUCGACUGACGGAAACCCUCGCUCCACUCCUCAAGGAGCCAGAGAAUCGGCUGCAGCCAACACGCUGGUCAUAUUGAAAAGCGCCACUAACCAGGGGUAGAAGCUGCAUCAUACUCAGCCACUCAUCUGAAUUCUGCAUUUUGCCUUAAGACAUGUAUAUAUGCUGGUCAUGCGACUUUUGUAAUCCAUCCUGUGGGUCGUUAAGUCUUUUGGCUGAUGACAAUAGGGUCUUGCUUGUGAACAAUUGUAGAACCUCUGCAUGAUAGGGAACAAAGACUCUAACCUUGCGGGUGUCAUGUUAGCAUAUUUUAGUCUUAAGACUCCAUGGUCCUGGUAUAUAUUAAUGGAACCGGACUGAUAUUAC